rnacentral:misc_RNA from 1 species
UUGUGGAGGAGGACGCCGAAGGUGGGGCUAAUGACUGGGGUGAAGUCGUAACAAGGUAGCCGUACCGGAAGGUGCGGCUGGAUCACCUCCUAACAGGGAGACAACAAAAUGUUAAAUAUUAAUUUUGUCACCUUAGGUCGAUCGGUACCUUACAUUCUUAAUUUAUUGAGAAUUUCAUUUCCUAAGUUUUUCUAGGUCACACCCAUUAUUUUUCCUGGGCCAUUAGCUCAGGUGGUUAGAGCGCACCCCUGAUAAGGGUGAGGUCCCUGGUUCAAGUCCAGGAUGGCCCAUCAUAUCUCUAUGUUGGGGGUAUAGCUCAGUUGGUAGAGCGCCUGCUUUGCAAGCAGGAUGUCAGCGGUUCGAGUCCGCUUACCUCCACUGAUUACCACCUCUUUCAUAAUCUGUGAAAGGAAAUGUUUUGAGUUGUGAUCAAAUUCUGAACGAAUCUAGCUUCCUAAUGAAACCAUUAAGAUGCUGGACUCAUUGAAUUAUAUUCAUUGUUUUCAGAGAACCUCGACAACUGCAUAGAUUAUUUUUAAAGACAAUAAGCAUCUUUAAAGAUGCAGAUUUAUUAUUUGUGCGAAUGCAUUAAUAACAAUUCUAUUAAGCUGAUGCUUCAAUUUUGAAGUUAUUGGUCAAGCUACAA